rnacentral:rRNA from 1 species
CAUGGAGGGUGAGAAUCCCGUUCGGUUGACCUUAUGACGCUCUACGAUACGCUCUCUAAGAGUCGAGUUGUUUGGGAUUGCAGCUCAAAAUGGGAGGUAAAUUUCUCCUAAGGCUAAAUAUCGGCGAGAGACCGAUAGCGAACAAGUACCGUGAGGGAAAGAUGAAAAGAACUUUGAAAAGAGAGUAAAAUAGUACGUGAAAUUGUUGAAAGGGAAACGAUUGAAGUCAGUCGUACCGACGAGAAAUCAACUUAUCGUGUGCGAACUUGUGGGCGUGCGUGAGUUUCGGCCUCGCUGUUUGCAUGUUUGUGCGUUUUGGGUGUACUUUUUCGUAUGGUAGGCCAACGUCAGUUUCGAUUAUCAUAAAAUGACCGGCGGAAUGUAGCUUCGAUUUCGGUUGAAGUGUUAUAGCCUCUGGUAGAUGUGGUGAUUGAGAUUGAGGAUUGCAACGAAUACCCUUUGGGCUAUCCGUCUGGCCUCUGAAAGUUGCUCAGGUGCCGAAAGCGUGCUUACGGUUAUCUAAGAUAACGUUCAACAGGUUAGAACGUGAUUACAUUCGUUAAGGAUGUUGACGUAAUGG